rnacentral:rRNA from 1 species
AACGUAGGAGGCGAGCGUUAUCCGGAUUUAUUGGGCGUAAAGCGCAUGCAGGUGGUUCUGCAAGUCGGAUGUGAAAGCUCCUGGCUUAACUGGGAGAGGUCGUUCGAAACUGCAGGACUGGAGGUCGGAAGAGGGAAGCGGAAUUCCCGGUGUAGUGGUGGAAUGCGUAGAUAUCGGGAGGAACACCAGUGGCGGAAGCGGCUUCCUGGUCCGCACCUGACACUCAGAUGCGAAAGCGUGGGGAGCGAACAGG